rnacentral:rRNA from 1 species
UACGGAAGGGGCAAGCGUUGUUCGGAAUCAUUGGGCGUAAAGGGCGCGUAGGUGGUUCUGUAUGUCUAUCGUGAAAGCGUACGGCUCAACCGUAUUUUGUCGGUAGAAACUGCAGGACUUGAGGCUGGGAGGGGCUGGUGGAAUUCCCUGUGUAGCGGUGAAAUGCGUAGAGAUGGGGGAGAACACUCGUGGCGAAGGCGGCCAGCUAGACCAGUUCUGACGCUGAGGAGCGAAAGCGUGGGGAGCGAACAGG